AGAAACUUAGGAUAAAACUUUUAAACCAGGGGCCUUCAAAGCCCAAAAUAGGGACACACCCCCCUAGUUUCUG
rnacentral:tRNA from 1 species